rnacentral:rRNA from 1 species
GAUGAACGCUGGCGGCAGGCUUAACACAUGCAAGUCGAACGCAUCCUUCGGGGUGAGUGGCAGACGGGUGAGUAACGCGUGGGAACGUGCCCUUCAGUUCGGGAUAACCCAGGGAAACUUGGGCUAAUACCGGAUACGUGCGAGAGCAGAAAGGUUUAUCGCUGAAGGAUCGGCCCGCGUCUGAUUAGCUAGUUGGUGGGGUAAUGGCCCACCAAGGCGACGAUCAGUAGCUGGUCUGAGAGGAUGAUCAGCCACAUUGGGACUGAGACACGGCCCAAACUCCUACGGGAGGCAGCAGUGGGGAAUAUUGGACAAUGGGCGCAAGCCUGAUCCAGCCAUGCCGCGUGAGUGAUGAAGGCCUUGGGGUUGUAAAGCUCUUUCGUCCGGGACGAUAAUGACGGUACCGGAAGAAGAAGCCCCGGCUAACUUCGUGCCAGCCGCCGCGGUAA